GGUAAGGUGGCCGAGCAGGUGGUGGGUUGUAGCCCCAAUCACAGAGGUUUAAGUCCUCUUCUUAUCA
rnacentral:tRNA from 1 species